rnacentral:rRNA from 1 species
GAUGAACGCUGGCGGCGUGCUUAACACAUGCAAGUCGAGCGAGAAGUUUUGAAAAGAUUCUUCGGAUGAAAUUUAAAAUGGAAAGCGGCGGACGGGUGAGUAACGCGUAGGCAACCUGCCCCAUACAAAGGGAUAGCAUUUGGAAACGAAUAUUAAUACCUUAUGAAACUUAACUAGUGCAUGCUAGGUAGGUCAAAGAUUUAUCGGUUUGGGAUGGGCCUGCGUCUGAUUAGCUAGUUGGUGAGGUAAAGGCUCACCAAGGCGCCGAUCGGUAGCCGACCUGAGAGGAUGAUCAGCCACACGGGGACAGAGACAAGUCCAAGACUCCUGCGGGAGGCAGCAGUGGGGAAUAUUGGACAAUGGGCGAAAGCCUGAUCCAGCAAUGCCGCGUGAGGGAUGAAGGCCUUAGGGUUGUAAAGCUCUUUUACCCCGGAUGAUAAUGACAGCACCGGGAGAAUAAGCUCCGGCGAACUCCGUG